UUUUCUUUAGGAACACUGAAUCAGUUGGCAUGUUUCUUUGGAAUGCUGAAAUGAAUACAGUAAAUGUCAAGACGCUGCAAAAACAAAAAACUCUGAAAAAGAGUUCUCAUGGACUGAUGAACUGAGAGCUGAAAUGGGAGUAGCAGAUUAGAACCAAUUGGUGAUCAGAUACUGUAUGCUGUAUCUCCAUUUUUAAGCUGUCUUGGAGACUGAUGUGUUAGACAAGCAGAAGACUAAGUGCUGGGGGAGUUUCUGGAACUACACAACAGCUUGCUGUCAGAGAGACUUGCAGCAUCACACAGCAUCACCUCUGCUUUCCAGACUCUGAGUCUCCAGGCAAUUAAUAUUUUAUAGUGUUAGCGAUGCUAAUUUUUCAGCCUAAAAACCAACCAAACACUGAAGUCCUGCUACUCCUGAACUGACAUCAUCCAGGUAAACAAGAACAUCUGACAUCACUGAUUUGUGGCUUAAGUGCCAAAUCACUGAGCCCCACGUCACGUUCACCACUAGAAAAUGAAAAAGAUGAGAAAGCUUCUUUCCAGUAACUUAUCAGCCUGGAAAACCAGCCCUUCAGGGAACACCCAGCCCCUGCUUUAAAUGUCAAGGAGGAAAACAUCUUUGUAUUGCAGAGCAGUCACAGCAGCUUCACUUCUGACUUGGUACCUUGGAUGGAAGCAGGUAGCCCUUUCCUUGUCAUGUAGGUUGUUGGGUUUUGGUUUGUUGUUUUUAUUUUUUCGUUUUAUUCUGUGUCAAACCAAGAGGCAAGACUACUUUUUCAUAAGUUCAUGCCCCAGUGGGUACUCUGUGGUUUCCUAGGAGCCUCUUGCUAUGCUUGCAUCUGACAGAAGAUGGCAAUGUAGGGAUAGAGGCAAAUACCUUUCUGGAAUGGGAAGAUUAAGAAAGCUUUUCAUUCCCACCAGUGUUAGAGGCCAAGAGAGAUUAACAUUAUCUGCUUUCUGUUUUACUCAGUGGAGGGGACUAUAUAGCAGUAGAGUGGGAAGAAAUAUUUAAUCAAACUGAUCUUCUACUUGCUACUUAAAUUCAUGGUGACAGGUCAAAAACAUUAUGGCUCCUGUGCUAGUUAGAAUGAUCUUUCAUCCAAUUUCAAUCCUGCAAGUUUGACAAAUACGACAUUACUCGUGCCAGUUAGAUUUCAGGCAGUCCUGUUAAGUUGCAAAAUAGGGACUUGUAGAGCCUUUGGAUCUACUGAAAUGCUUUUCAAGGUUUUGAAUUUGUAGGGCAGAAACUGGGAGGUGGGAGAAUGCUCCUGUUUCAGGAGCCCAGGUACACUGCCUUAACAUCAGGGCAUCUAUUCCAGCUCUGAGGAUCCCACAGAUUUUCUGGCAUGCUGAUAGGAGCCUUGUAGGUCCCUCUGGCUGCAACGAAGUACAGCUCUGCUUAAUGCUCUCAUGAGGAUCUGAAAUCCUUUUCUUAUUAAGGAACCUCCUCUGCUUGAGUACACUGAACUGCAUGGACUUGCUAUGGAGGAAAGAGCUUUGCUUAG